rnacentral:rRNA from 1 species
AUGGGAAACAUCAUAGCUUCUUCGGCGCACCAGUACGCCCCCGAGACCGAGACGUGGUCACGAUGUUACACGGAGGGCACCACGGUGACGCACAACUUCGAGAUCGCCGGCUACUCGCUGCUCCAUGGCAUGGGCACCGGCAACUACGUCACGUCGAGCACGUUUACCGUCGGCGGCUGCGACAACUGCGAGUGGGACAUCAUGUUCUACCCCGACGGGGCCACCAAGGACGAGGGCGAAGAAGCUGACCACGCCUCCGCCUACCUCCGUCUCCGUCCCUGUAGCCGACAACCAUGGCCGACGGCCGUGAUGACCAAAUACACUCUGAGCUUAUGGGGCAAGGAUGGCCAAUUGUGUCAGCAACGGAGCACACGUCAUACGUUUACCCCUGGUGGUACGGGCUGGGGCCAUGUCCGCUUUGUCCCCAAGUCCAAGCUGCUGGCCCUCAAAGAUGACUGCUUCACCAUCACGUGUGUCUUGACGGUCUUGAAAGAGCGCCACAUGGAAGAAGUGAGCACGUUCAUCGUCCCGAUCCCAACGUCGAACUUUCACCAAGACUUUGGGAACAUGUUGAAGGACGGGGAAGGCACGGAUGUGACGUUCGUCGUGGGCGACCAAUCGUUCCAGGCUCAUAGAGCUCUGUUGGCCGCUCGGACGCCGUUCUUCAGGGCGGAGCUCUUCGGUCCGAUGAAAGAGAACAAGAUGCAGCGCAUCAACAUUGAUGACGUGGAGCCCUCUGUGUUCAAGGCGCUUCUUCACUUUAUAUACACAGAUGCCUUGCCGGAUAAUCACGAUGUCAGGAAGAACACGACACUGCAGCAUUUGAUGGUUGCCGCGGAUCGGUACGGGUUGGACAGGCUAGCCGCCAUGUGUGAAGGAGAGCUAUGCCGAGGCAUUGACGUGCAGACAGUUGCAACCACCCUAACUUUAGCGAAGCAGCAUUGUCGCGAGCGACUGAAAGACAUUUGCAUUGACUUUAUGUCUUCGCGGGAUGUGUUCGGUGAUGUCAAGAAGACCGAUGGAUUCAAGCACCUUGUGACAAGCUGUCCGGAGGUUAUAACAGAUAUUUUACAAGAAAAUUUGCCGUUGCCAGAGGUGGUGCGGACCAAUCCGCGGAGGACACCUGGGUGGCUCAAAAGGCAGCAGCGCUCAUCGCAGGUCCGCCGUGCAGUUCUCGUCUCCGCUUGCGUUUUGGUGCCGGCGGUGGUGGUCUCUUGUCGAGUGUACAUGAGGCGACACUAG